CGCCUGUUUUUCAAAAACAUCGCCUCCUAACUUUGGGAGGUCGAGCCUGCCCACUGAUGAAUUAAAGGGCCGUGGUAUACUGACCAUGCGAAGGUAGCAUAAUCAUUAGCCUUUUGAUUUGAGGCUGGAAUGAAUGGUUUGACGAGAGGUGGUCUGUCUCUUCGAUUAAAUUGAAGUUAAUCUUUAAGUGAAAAAGCUUAAAUGUACUUGGAGGGCGAUAAGACCCUAUAGAUCUUUACAUUUAAUUCUUUUGUCUUGCGGUAGGUAAUUAGACAGAGUAAAACAAUGUUCGGUUGGGGCGACGGUAAGAACAGAAUAAACACUUACAACAUAAAUACAUCAAUAAAUGACCAUUGAUCCUUAGAUGAAUAAAGACCAAGUUACCUUAGGGAUAACAGCGUAAUUCUUUUUGAGAGUUCAAAUCGACAAAAGAGUUUGCGACCUCGAUGUUGGUUCAGGGACCCUACUCGGUGCAGCAGCCUAGAGAGGCAGUCUGUUCGACUGUUAAACCCCUACAUGAUCUGAG
rnacentral:rRNA from 1 species